UUGGAGUAGGUCCUUGGGCUUGCUUGCGGUUUGUUACGAACACAUGCUUGCCUUAAAUGCAUUAGCUGGAUUUCAGUAGAGUUGUUAAGUAACAUUGAAAACUCUCGUAAUACGAAGUCUGCUUCUAACCCGUCGUCUUUAUUGACACACAUAUUCAUUUCUUUGGCCUCAAAUCAGGUAGGACUACCCGCUGAACUUAA
rnacentral:misc_RNA from 1 species